UACAGAGGGUGCAAACGUUGUUCGGAUUUACUGGGCGUAAAGCGCGUGUAGGCUGCUUCGCAAGUCGGAUGUGAAAGCCCGGGGCUCAACUCCGGAAUUGCCUUUAAAACUGCAUCGCUAGAGUUGUGGAGAGGUAAGUGGAAUUCCGAGUGUAGAGGUGAAAUUCGUAGAUAUUCGGAAGAACACCAGUGGCGAAGGCGACUUACUGGACACAUACUGACGCUGAGGUGCGAAAGCGUGGGGAGCAAACAGG
rnacentral:rRNA from 1 species